ACGCUAGUGGUGGUGGAGUCGUUGGUGAAAUACCACUCUGAUUGUUCUGGUUAUCUCACUGUGGACCGUGAUCCGGUUCAAGGACAGUGCCUGAUGGGUAGUUUGACUGGGGCGGUCGCCUCCUAAAGGGUAACGGAGGCGCCCAAAGGUUCCCUCAGCCUGGUUGGUAAUCAGGUGGUGAGUGUAAGUGCACAAGGGGGCUUGACUGUGAGACUGACAGGUCGAGCAGGGACGAAAGUCGG
rnacentral:rRNA from 1 species